rnacentral:rRNA from 1 species
CAGUCGCCACGGUAAUACGUAGGGGGCAAGCGUUGUCCGGAAUCAUUGGGCGUAAAGCGCGUGUAGGCGGCUCGAUAAGUCUGCUGUGGAAGUCCAGGGCUCAACCCUGGAAUGCCGGUGGAAACUGUCGAGCUCGAGUCCGGAAGAGGCAAGUGGAAUUCCUGGUGUAGCGGUGAAAUGCGCAGAUAUCAGGAGGAACACCAAUGGCGAAGGCAGCUUGCUGGGACGGUACUGACGCUGAGACGCGAAAGCGUGGGGAGCAAACAGGAUUAGAACCCGUGUAGUCCCUGUCUCUUAUACC